rnacentral:sRNA from 1 species
GGAGGAGGAGUUAAGGGUGGCUUUAGAGGCUCAGUCCCCGCGACGCCGCGCUGGUUGGUGCUCCUGCGCCGGAGGAGUUCUGCGUCUCGGGGUGGUGACUGGGUCCAGAAUGGCUUCGGAUUCGGGGAACCAGGGGACCCUCUGCACGUUGGAGUUCGCGGUGCAGAUGACCUGUCAGAGCUGUGUGGACGCGGUGCGCAAAUCCCUGCAAGGGGUGGCAGGUGUCCCGGAUGUGGAGGUGCACUUGGAGGACCAGAUGGUCUUGGUACACACCACUCUGCCCAGCCAGGAGGUGCAGGCUCUCCUGGAAGGCACGGGGCGGCAGGCGGUACUCAAGGGCAUGGGCAGCGGCCAGUUGCGUGAGUGACCACUGUGGCCUUGGCCCCUCUGGGAGGGAGGUGGCUCAGAGCUGGUACAAAUCUAAUCAUAGGAUUCUCGGGCUCUGGGUUGGAGUGGCUUUGAGGAAGGUGUGAAAAUUAUGUGAGACUCCCUGCCCUUCCCGAGCUGCUGAAGAGGUGUGCUGGGUGAGGUGGCAAGCCAGCCCAAGUGUCUAAUACCUUGCAGAAAAUCUGGGGGCAGCAGUGGCCAUCCUGGGGGGGUCUGGCACCGUGCAGGGGGUGGUGCGCUUCCUGCAGCUGACCCCUGAGCGCUGCCUCAUCGAGGGAACUAUUGAUGGCCUGGAGCCUGGGCUGCAUGGACUCCACGUCCAUCAGUACGGGGACCUUACAAACAACUGCAACAGCUGUGGGAACCACUUUAACCCUGAUGGAGCAUCUCAUGGGGGCCCCCAGGACUCUGACCGGCACCGCGGAGACCUGGGCAAUGUCCGUGCUGAUGCUGACGGCCGCGCCAUCUUCAGAAUGGAGGAUGAGCAGCUGAAGGUAAGGUGGAAAAGAAGGUGGGCACCCUUCCUAACAGGGUCCAUCAUCUGAAGCUGUCGUCUCCCCUCAAAGGUGUGGGAUGUGAUUGGCCGCAGCCUGAUUAUUGAUGAGGGAGAAGAUGACCUGGGCCGGGGAGGCCAUCCUUUAUCCAAGAUCACAGGGAACUCCGGGGAGAGGUUGGCCUGUGGCAUCAUUGCACGCUCCGCUGGCCUUUUCCAGAACCCCAAGCAGAUCUGCUCUUGCGAUGGCCUCACCAUCUGGGAGGAGCGAGGCCGGCCCAUCGCUGGCAAGGGCCGAAAGGAGUCGGCCCAGCCCCCUGCCCACCUUUGAGCAGGACCUCACCUUGGCUCUGUUGCUGUCCUCCAGGGCGAGCACUUUCCACUUCCA